rnacentral:rRNA from 1 species
ACUCCUACGGGAGGCAGCAGUGGGGAAUAUUGCACAAUGGGCGAAAGCCUGAUGCAGCGACGCCGCGUGAGGGAUGACGGCCUUCGGGUUGUAAACCUCUUUCAGCAGGGACGAAGCGAAAGUGACGGUACCUGUAGAAGAAGGACCGGCCAACUACGUGCCAGCAGCCGCGGUAAUACGUAGGGUCCAAGCGUUGUCCGGAAUUAUUGGGCGUAAAGAGCUCGUAGGCGGUUUGUCACGUCGGCUGUGAAAUCCCGAGGCUCAACCUCGGCCUGCAGUCGAUAGGCUAACUAGAGUGUGGCAGGGGAGAUUGGAAUUCCUGGUGUAGCGGUGAAAUGCGCAGAUAUCAGGAGGAACACCGGUGGCGAAGGCGGAUCUCUGGGCCAUAACUGACGCUGAGGAGCGAAAGCGUGGGGAGCGAACAGGAUUAGAUACCCUGGUAGUCCACGCCGUAAACGUUGGGCGCUAGGUGUGGGGACCAUUCCACGGUUUCGUGCCGCAGCUAACGCAUUAAGCGCCCCGCCUGGGGAGUACGGCCGCAAGGCUAAAACUCAAAGGAAUUGACGGGGGCCCGCACAAGCGGCGGAGUAUGUUGCUUAAUUCGAUGCAACGCGAAGAACCUUACCAAGGCUUGACAUGCAGGGAAAUCUCACAGAGAUGUGAGGUCCGUAAGGGUCCUGCACAGGUGGUGCAUGGUUGUCGUCAGCUCGUGUCGUGAGAUGUUGGGUUAAGUCCCGCAACGAGCGCAACCCUCGUUCUAUGUUGCCAGCGCGUUAUGGCGGGGACUCAUAGGAGACUGCCGGGGUCAACUCGGA